rnacentral:lncRNA from 1 species
ACCUUAGCCAGGAAGUCUACCGUCCCUCCCACUCUCCUGCCGGUCACACCACCACACCAUGGAAGAAAGAGGUAGCCUGUUAAACCCACACCUUCUCUUCUUCCACCUCUACUGUCCGGUUGCACUGGGAAAGCCAGAUAGAAGCUGCCCCUCUCGGCGGAGAGGUUUGAAAGAACGAGCAAACGGAUCAAAGAAGGGAGAGAAAUGAAGAAAAUAAAGACGGCACUCCAGCUUACAGGAUCUAUAAGCCGUGUUUCCUGAAAAGAUAAAUGAUUUCCUAAUGAAUGGAUCCUUUAGGCCAUAAAAAAUCCAUUUAUUUUCUUUUGGAUUUGAAUAGAGGGGAUUUGCAUUUUUUCCAGUGCAGCCCCAUUUAAAUUAAAAUGCAGAGCAUGAGGCUAGCCUACAAUGCAACUAAAUAAUAGUGGGAGGGGCCGCUGUAUUCUUCCUAGGAGCUCAGAGUUUGCUAGCUUUGCCAUAGGAAAAAAGCAGACACUGGUACCAACACCUACUGUUGCAGAAGAGAAUACCACAAGGCCGUUCGGGACACCUUCGAGGCGUGCGAGAAGCUGGGCGGUUGGUUGUGAUCAUGUUUCGUUUAUUCAGGAAACUAGGCAAUGUGUUUAUCUAAGAGGGAAUCUGCCAUUUCGAAAACGGCUGCAGUUCUGACAGCAGCAAAAUAGGUCCUGGUGUCUAAUUAUACUUAGAAGAGGGCAACUUAAAAAAUAAUGAUAAUAAUAAAAGCAGUAGAAUCAAGAUUCCACCCCCCCCAAAAAAAAGAACAUAAAAAUGUUUUAAGUACCUGCAUUUCUGUUGUUCCCUAAUCCCCGGCUGUUCCUGGCUGCCACUCUUCCCUGCCCCCACCCCAUGUGCUCGAGAGCCAGGAUUUCAAUGUCCCUGGCGGCCACCAACUUACUUACAGUAGAGACCUCUCUACCCCUGCCUGGUUUCAGAGCACAAAGAACAAAGUACAAGUUAUCAGGUCUUAAAAACUAGAAGGGAGGACAGGCCAACUUCUCUGAAGGACAGGAAUAGCCUGCCGCAGAGAGACCUGCAGUGCACAAGCUAGAAACAGUGUGGUGAAAUAUAAAAACCUACAGGGGCCAAACAGCCAGGUGUGCCCUUGUCUAGCAGGCGGGGUGUGGCAGUGCCCGGACAGGCUGUUCUUCUACCCCAGCGCCCUUCAAGGCCAUUGGCAUUUGGACUCUGUGGCUUACCUUUUAUCAAGGAAAGCCAGAAACUGGGGCUGCCCUGUAAGCUCCCAUUAAAAAUGCUAGCCACUCUGUUUAGGGUGUUUAAAUACCAUCUAAGCUGAGCAAAACCUGAAAGGAGAUGCAAAGAGUCCCUGGUUUGCUGUUUGCUGUCCCCACUUCUGGAGAGCCUGAGGUUAUUUGAAGCAUGUACUUAUACAACAGCUUACCUGUUAAUUGCCCCUGAAUAAUUCUGUCUUAUUAGAUUCAGUGACAGAUAAAGCUGUAGUCCUCCUG